GACGAACGCUGGCAGCGUGCUUAACACAUGCAAGUCGAACGGAAGGGCCCUGCUUUUGUGGGGUGCUCGAGUGGCGAACGGGUGAGUAACACGUGAGUAACCUGCCCUUGACUUUGGGAUAACUUCAGGAAACUGGGGCUAAUACCGGAUAGGAGCUCCUGCUGCAUGGUGGGGGUUGGAAAGUUUCGGCGGUUGGGGAUGGACUCGCGGCUUAUCAGCUUGUUGGUGGGGUAGUGGCUUACCAAGGCUUUGACGGGUAGCCGGCCUGAGAGGGUGACCGGCCACAUUGGGACUGAGAUACGGCCCAGACUCCUACGGGAGGCAGCAGUGGGGAAUAUUGCACAAUGGGCGGAAGCCUGAUGCAGCAACGCCGCGUGCGGGAUGACGGCCUUCGGGUUGUAAACCGCUUUCGCCUGUGACGAAGCGUGAGUGACGGUAAUGGGUAAAGAAGCACCGGCUAACUACGUG
rnacentral:rRNA from 1 species